AUUAGUGGCGAACGGGUGAGUAACACGUGAGUAACCUGCCCCUGACUUCGGGAUAAGCGCUGGAAACGGCGUCUAAUACCGGAUACGACCUACCUCUGCAUGGGGUGUGGGUGGAAAGCUUUAUGCGGUUGGGGAUGGGCUCGCGGCCUAUCAGCUUGUUGGUGGGGUGAAGGCCUACCAAGGCGACGACGGGUAGCCGGCCUGAGAGGGUGUCCGGCCACACUGGGACUGAGACACGGCCCAGACUCCUACGGGAGGCAGCAGUGGGGAAUAUUGCACAAUGGGCGCAAGCCUGAUGCAGCGACGCCGCGUGAGGGAUGACGGCCUUCGGGUUGUAAACCUCUUUCAGUAGGGAACAAGCCUUCGGGUGAGGGUACCUGCAGAAGAAGCGCCGGCUAACUACGUGCCAGCAGCCGCGGUAAUACGUAGGGCGCAAGCGUUGUCCGGAAUUAUUGGGCGUAAAGAGCUCGUAGGCGGCUUGUCGCGUCUGCUGUGAAAACCCGGGGCUCA
rnacentral:rRNA from 1 species